AGUUUAAUUUAGUCGCUAAAAAAAAAAAAUAAAAUUUAUUUGGACACAGUUAAAUGACUUAUUUGACUCUAAAGUACAUUUUAGAGAUACUCAAAGGGCAAAGAAAGCCUUUUGCCUUAUUCAAAAUUUGAUAAUAACAUGCUUAAAUGUCUCUAUUAAAAUUUGUAAACCAUUUGCUCAGUAUAUCCGAGAUCUUUGAGUAUGCCAGUGAGCUCUCCCUGCGAGUAGUCUUUAGCCUUAUCACCAGAUAU
rnacentral:misc_RNA from 1 species